GAUGAAGAACGCAGCGAAAUGCGAUACUUGGUGUGAAUUGCAGAAUCCCGUGAACCAUCGAGUUUUUGAACGCAAGUUGCGCCCGAAGCCUUUUGGCCGAGGGCACGUCUGCCUGGGCGUCACGCAUCGCGUCGCCCCCCACAAUUCUCCGUAAAAGGAACAUGUGUUUUGGGGGCGGAUAUUGGUCUCCCGUGCUCAUGGCGUGGUUGGCCGAAAUAGGAGUCCUUUCGAUGGACGCACGAACUAGUGGUGGUCGUAAAAACCCUCGUCUUUUGUUUCGUGCUGUUGCUCGCAAGGUAAACUCUUUAAAAACCCCAAUGUGUCGUCUUGACGACGCUUCGACCGCGACCCCAGGUCAGGCGGGACUACCCGCUGAGUUUAAGCAUAUCAAUAAGCGGAGGA
rnacentral:misc_RNA from 1 species